rnacentral:rRNA from 1 species
CCAGACUCCUACGGGAGGCAGCAGUGAGGAAUAUUGGUCAAUGGGCGGGAGCCUGAACCAGCCAAGUCGCGUGAGGGAUGACGGCCCUAUGGGUUGUAAACCUCUUUUGCCGGGGAGCAAGGGCGGGGACGUGUCCCGGCCCGGAGAGUACCCGGAGAAAAAGCAUCGGCUAACUCCGUGCCAGCAGCCGCGGUAAUACGGAGGAUGCGAGCGUUAUCCGGAUUUAUUGGGUUUAAAGGGUGCGUAGGCGGGCUUUUAAGUCAGCGGUAAAAAUUCGGGGCUCAACCCCGUCCGGCCGUUGAAACUGGGGGCCUUGAGUGGGCGAGAAGAAGGCGGAAUGCGUGGUGUAGCGGUGAAAUGCAUAGAUAUCGCGCAGAACCCCGAUUGCGAAGGCAGCGUACCGGCUCCACACUGACGCUGAGGCACGAAAGCGUGGGUAUCGAACAGGAUUAGAUACCCCAGUACAU